GACGAACGCUGGCGGCGUGCUUAACACAUGCAAGUCGAACGGAAAGGCCCUGCUUUUGUGGGGUGCUCGAGUGGCGAACGGGUGAGUAACACGUGAGUAACCUGCCCUUGACUUUGGGAUAACUUCAGGAAACUGGGGCUAAUACCGGAUAGGAGCUCCUGCUGCAUGGGGGGGGUUGGAAAGUUUCGGCGGUUGGGGAUGGACUCGCGGCUUAUCAGCUUGUUGGUGGGGUAGUGGCUUACCAAGGCUUUGCCGGGUAGCCGGCCUGAGAGGGUGACCGGCCACAUUGGGGUUGGGUUCCGGCCCGUCCCCCACCGGGGGCAGGCAUGGGGCAAUUUGCCACAAUGGCGGGAGCCUGGAUCCAGCACCCCCGCGGGCGGGAUCGCGCCCUUCGGGUUUAAACCCGCUUUCCCCUGUGACGAAGCGGGAGUGCGGGUAAUGGGUAAAGACACCCCCCCAAACCCCGUC
rnacentral:rRNA from 1 species